UGCCAGCCGCCGCGGUAAUACAGAGACUGCAAGCGUUAUUCGGAUUCACUGGGCGUAAAGGGUGCGCAGGCGGUUGGGUGUGUCAGAUGUGAAAUCUCGAGGCUCAACCUCGGAACUGCGUCUGAAACUACUCGACUAGAGUAUUGGAGAGGGUAACGGAAUUCACGGUGUAGCAGUGAAAUGCGUAGAUAUCGUGAGGAACACCAGAGGCGAAGGCGGUUACCUGGACAAUUACUGACGCUCAGGCACGAAAGCGUGGGGAGCAAAAGGGAUUAGAUA
rnacentral:rRNA from 1 species